AACGAACGCUGGCGGCAGGCCUAACACAUGCAAGUCGAACGCUCGUAGCAAUACGGGAGUGGCAGACGGGUGCGUAACGCGUGGGAACAUACCCUUUGGUUCGGAAUAACUCAGGGAAACUUGAGCUAAUACCGGAUACGCCCGAGAGGGGAAAGAUUUAUUGCCGAAGGAUUGGCCCGCGUCUGAUUAGCUUGUUGGUAGGGUAACGGCCUACCAAGGCGACGAUCAGUAGCUGGUCUGAGAGGAUGAUCAGCCACACUGGGACUGAGACACGGCCCAGACUCCUACGGGAGGCAGCAGUGGGGAAUAUUGGACAAUGGGCGCAAGCCUGAUCCAGCCAUGCCGCGUGAGUGAUGACGGCCCUAGGGUUGUAAAGCUCUUUUACCCGGGAAGAUAAUGACGGUACCGGGAGAAUAAGCCCGGCUAACUUCGUG
rnacentral:rRNA from 1 species